GAAACCCAUGAUCGAACUCGUGAUGAUGGCGGAAGCGGCGACGGGUGAGUAACGCGUAGGCAACCUGCCCCUUGCAGAGGGAUAGCCUCGGGAAACCGGGAUUAAAACCUCAUAACGCAUCGAGAAGACAUCUUCAUGAUGCCAAAGAUUUAUCGGCAAGGGAUGGGCCUGCGUCUGAUUAGUUAGUUGGUGGGGUAACGGCCUACCAAGGCAGCGAUCAGUAGCCGACCUGAGAGGGUGAUCGGCCACAUUGGAACUGAGACACGGUCCAAACUCCUACGGGAGGCAGCAGUGGGGAAUAUUGCACAAUGGGGGAAACCCUGAUGCAGCAACGCCGCGUGAAGGAUGAAGGCCCUUGGGUCGUAAACUUCUGUUCUAAGGGAAGAUAAUGACGGUACCUUAGGAGCAAGUCCCGGCUAACUACGUGCCAGCCGCAGC
rnacentral:rRNA from 1 species